GACAGCAUGGUGUAGUGGUUUGAGUGUUGGACUAUGACUCUAGAGCCCAGGGUUCGAAUUCCCGUUCAGCCA